GGAUAGCUCAGUUGGUUAGAGUGCGGUGCUAACAAUGGCAAGGUUGUAGGUUCGAUCCCCAUAAGAGACA
rnacentral:tRNA from 1 species